AUUUGAGAUGGGGUGUUAACUAUAGUACACUCUUGAUGGGGAGUUAGACUGCUCUCUAUGAGAUAAAGGUAGAUAUCUGUGAACGUCCAUGUAGGUGCAUGGGCGUACUACUAGCACCAAUCAGCUAGAAUUUGCUGUGAUUAGAGAAAGUUAUGUGGACAACAAAUUUGGUCAUAUCACGUUAAAGAAAUUUGGUUAAACGAGCUUAGCUCCACCAUAUUUUUGUGAUCCUUAGAUUGUUCAUCCAAGAUAUGGUUCAAACCC
rnacentral:lncRNA from 1 species